AUGACAAGUGUGAGCCAAGUGAGGAGUACCUUCUUCUGCACAGAAACAAAGCGAACUGCUUUCCUCUUUGGAUUGCAGUUGAAUAAUCCCUGAAGGAGCGAUUUCAGGUGUAAGAAUCCCGUUCCAGCGGCGGAAGCCUUGCUGGGCGAUUCGGGG